CUGGUGUCAGCCGCCGCGGUAAUACCAGCACCCCGAGUGGUCGGGACGAUUAUUGGGCCUAAAGCAUCCGUAGCCGGUUCUACAAGUCUUCCGUUAAAUCCACCUGCUUAACAGAUGGGCUGCGGAGGAUACUAUAGAGCUAGGAGGCGGGAGAGGCAAGCGGUACUUAGUGGGUAGGGGUAAAAUCCGUUGAUCCAUUGAAGACCACCAGUGGCGAAGGCGGCUUGCCAGAGCGCACUCGACGGUGAGGGAUGAAAGCUGGGGGAGCAAACCGGAUUAGAUACCCGGGUAGUCCCAGCUGUAAACGAUGCAGACUCGGUGAUGAAUAGGCUUCGUGCCUAUUCAGUGCCGCAGGGAAGCCGUUAAGUCUGCCGCCUGGGGAGUACGGUCGCAAGACUGAAACUUAAAG
rnacentral:rRNA from 2 species